AGUGAACGCUGGCGGUAGGCCUAACACAUGCAAGUCGAACGGCAGCGCAGGAGAGCUUGCUCUCUGGGUGGCGAGUGGCGGACGGGUGAGGAAUACAUCGGAAUCUACUUUUUCGUGGGGGAUAACGUAGGGAAACUUACGCUAAUACCGCAUACGACCUACGGGUGAAAGCAGGGGAUCUUCGGACCUUGCGCGAUUGAAUGAGCCGAUGUCGGAUUAGCUAGUUGGCGGGGUAAAGGCCCACCAAGGCGACGAUCCGUAGCUGGUCUGAGAGGAUGAUCAGCCACACUGGAACUGGGACACGGUCCAGACUCCUACGGGAGGCAGCAGUGGGGAAUAUUGGACAAUGGGCGCAAGCCUGAUCCAGCCAUACCGCGUGGGUGAAGAAGGCCUUCGGGUUGUAAAGCCCUUUUGUUGGGAAAGAAAUCCAGCUGGUUAAUACCCGGCUGGGAUGACGGUACCCAAAGAAUAAGCACCGGCUAACUUCGUGCCAGCCGCCGCCGUAA
rnacentral:rRNA from 1 species